GUUUUCAUCACCAACUUUGAAUAGCACUUUGGGAGGAAAUCUGAGAAUAAAUAAAGGAACAGUGCCAUGAACUGGUGUUCCCUUAUUUCUUUCCCUUGGUGA